rnacentral:rRNA from 1 species
UUCGGGACUCGAGUGGCGAACGGGUGAGUAACACGUAGGGAACCUGCCCGUGCGACCGGGAGAACUUUCGGAAACGGAAGCUGAUACCGGAUAGGGACAGAGACGGCAUCGACUCUGUGUUAAAGGAGCUGAAAGGCUCCGCGCACGGAUGGACCUGCGGUGCAUUAGCUGGUUGGUGAGGUAACGGCCCACCAAGGCGACGAUGCAUAGCCGGCCUGAGAGGGCGGACGGCCACACUGGGACUGAGACACGGCCCAGACUCCUACGGGAGGCAGCAGUAGGGAAUUUUCGUCAAUGGGCGCAAGCCUGAACGAGCAAUGCCGCGUGAACGAGGAAGGUCUUCGGAUCGUAAAGUUCUGUUGAAGGGGAAAAAGAGCGGAGAGAGGAAAUGGUCUCCGAUUGAUAUUACCCUUCGAGGAAGUCACGGCUAACUACGUGCCAGCAGCCGCGGUAAUACGUAGGUGGCGAGCGUUAUCCGGAAUGAUUGGGCGUAAAGGGUGCGUAGGCGGCCUGCUAAGUCUGGAGUGAAAGGUACCGGCUCAACCGGUACAGGCUCUGGAAACUGGCGGGCUAGAGAGCAGGAGAGGGCGGUGGAACUCCAUGUGUAGCGGUAAAAUGCGUAGAUAUAUGGAAGAACACCAGUGGCGAAGGCGGCCGCCUGGCCUGUUACUGACGCUGAGGCACGAAAGCGUGGGGAGCAAAUAGGAUUAGAUACCCUAGUAGUCCACGCCGUAAACGAUGARGACCAAGUGUUGGGGAAGACCCAGUGCUGCAGUUAACGCAGUGAGUCCUCCGCCUGGGGAGUAUGCACGCAAGUGUGAAACUCAAAGGAAUUGACGGGGGCCCGCACAAGCGGUGGAGUAUGUGGUUUAAUUCGAAGCAACGCGAAGAACCUUACCAGGCCUUGACAUAGGGUGCGAAGCUGUGGAGAUAUAGUGGAGGUAAACAUCCAUACAGGUGGUGCAUGGUUGUCGUCAGCUCGUGUCGUGAGAUGUUCAGUUAAGUCUGGCAACGAGCGCAACCCUCGUGAUGUGUUACCAAUAUCGAGUUAGGGACUCACAUCAGACUGCCGGUGAGAAACCGGAGGAAGGCGGGGAUGACGUCAAAUCAUCAUGCCCCUUAUGGCCUGGGCUACACACGUACUACAAUGGCGGCGACAGAGGGCAGCGAGCCUGCGAAGGCAAGCGAAUCCCAAAAAAGCCGUCCCAGUUCGGAUUGGAGUCUGCAACCCGACUCCAUGAAGUUGGAAUCGCUAGUAAUCGCGGAUCAGCAUGCCGCGGUGAAUACGUUCUCGGGCCUUGUACACACCGCCCGUCAAACCAUGGGAGUGGGCAAUGCCCGAAGCCGGUGGCGC